rnacentral:rRNA from 1 species
UCAUUACAACGNGUUAUGAUGUACCCGGGAGUUCCGAUGGAUAUUUCCAGNUAACACUAGAACUAAUACAUGCUCCUGCGUUUAUUANUUUCGCACAGUCCGUCGCUGANUCNUGGUAAACAGUUGAUCGGCUCGACGUCCCGGAACANUUUCCGCCCCAUCANCUUCNAUGGUUGGGUAUUGGCCUACCAUUGCAACAACGGGUAACGAGGAAUUAGGGUUUGAUUUCAGAGAGGGAGCCUGAGAAACGGCUACCACAUCUACGGAUGGCAGCNGGCGCGCNAAUUACCCNNAUGCANACUCUGUGAGGUAGUGACGAGAAAUAAUAAAGCGGGACUUCUGUUUCGCUAUUAUAAUGAGGAAUAACCANAGGUCAUUCCGAUUANCAACUGAUGGGAAAGUCUGGUGCCAGCAGCCNCGGUAAUACCAGCGUCAGUAGCAUAUAUUAAAAUUGUUGCAGUUAAAACGUCCGUAGUCUGUACGUCGUCCCAAACUCNCUGCNGUCUUCCGUUUUCUUCAUUGAAUGCNGUAGUUUCUGCAGUCACUCCCUUGAUCAAAUUAGGUUGUUCAAGGUAGACCAAGUCUUCAUAUUUUCACAUGNAAUUGGNUGAGGGAACUUAAGANUUUAAGUUUCUCGNCUUANGAUCAUCCGG